GAGAUUCUUCGGAAUCUUGAGAGCGGCGCAGGGUGCGGAACACGUGUGCAACCUGCCUUUAUCUGGGGGAUAGCCUUUCGAAAGGGAGAUUAAUACCCCAUAAUAUACUGAGUGGCAUCACUUAUUAUUGAAAACUCCGGUGGAUAGAGAUGGGCACGCGCAAGAUUAGAUAGUUGGUGAGGUAACGGCUCACCAAGUCAAUGAUCUUUAGGGGGCCUGAGAGGGUGAUCCCCCACACUGGUACUGAGACACGGACCAGACUCCUACGGGAGGCAGCAGUGAGGAAUAUUGGACAAUGGGUGAGAGCCUGAUCCAGCCAUCCCGCGUGAAGGACGACGGCCCUAUGGGUUGUAAACUUCUUUUGUACAGGGAUAAACCUUUCCACGUGUGGAAAGCUGAAGGUACUGUACGAAUAAGCACCGGCUAACUCCGUGCCAGCAGCCGCGGUAAUACGGAGGGUGCAAGCGUUAUCCGGAUUUAUUGGGUUUAAAGGGUCCGUAGGCGGAUCUGUAAGUCAGUGGUGAAAUCUCAUAGCUUAACUAUGAAACUGCCAUUGAUACUGCAGGUCUUGAGUAAGGUAGAAGUAGCUGGAAUAAGUAGUGUAGCGGUGAAAUGCAUAGAUAUUACUUAGAACACCAAUUGCGAAGGCAGGUUACUAUGUCUUAACUGACGCUGAUGGACGAAAGCGUGGGGAGCGAACAGGAUUAGAUACCCUGGUAGUCCACGCCGUAAACGAUGCUAACUCGUUUUUGGUUUUUCGGAAUCAGAGACUAAGCGAAAGUGAUAAGUUAGCCACCUGGGGAGUACGAACGCAAGUUUGAAACUCAAAGGAAUUGACGGGGGCCCGCACAAGCGGUGGAUUAUGUGGUUUAAUUCGAUGAUACGCGAGGAACCUUACCAAGACUUAAAUGGGAAUUGACAGAUUUAGAAAUAGAUCCUCCUUCGGGCAAUUUUCAGGUGCUGCAUGGUUGUCGUCAGCUCGUGCCGUGAGGUGUUAGGUUAAGUCCUGCAACGAGCGCAACCCCUGUCACUAGUUGCCAUCAUUAAGUUGGGGACUCUAGUGAGACUGCCUAC
rnacentral:rRNA from 1 species